ensembl:rRNA 5S_rRNA 5S ribosomal RNA
ACCUCCUCAAAUCAAUUGAGUAAUUUGAAUUCUUAAAAAUUAGUACUCUCGUCUGAUCUCAGAAGCUAAGCAGGGUCGGGCCUGGUUACUACUUGGAUGGGAGACCACCUAGGAAGACCGGGUG